rnacentral:rRNA from 1 species
CCUACGGGAGGCAGCAGUGGGGAAUAUUGCGCAAUGGGCGAAAGCCUGACGCAGCGACGCCGCGUGAGGGAUGAAGGUCUUCGGAUCGUAAACCUCUGUCAGCAGGGAAGAACGGUCACUGUGCUAAUCAGCAGUGAAUUGACGGUACCUGCAAAGGAAGCACCGGCUAACUCCGUGCCAGCAGCCGCGGUAAUACGGAGGGUGCGAGCGUUAAUCGGAAUUACUGGGCGUAAAGCGCUCGUAGGCGGUAUGUCAAGUCAAGGGUGAAAUCCCCGCGCUCAACGUGGGAACUGCCUUUGAAACUGGCAAACUGGAGUGUUGGAGAGGAUAGUGGAAUUCCAGGUGUAGGAGUGAAAUGCGUAGAGAUCUGGAGGAAUAUUAGUGGCGAAGGCGACUAUCUGGCAAAUAACUGACGCUGAGGAGCGAAAGCGUGGAGAGCAAACAGGAUUAGAUACCCCGGUAGUC